CCUACGGGAGGCAGCAGUGAGGAAUAUUGGUCAAUGGGCGAGAGCCUGAACCAGCCAAGUCGCGUGAGGGAGUACUGCCCUAUGGGUUGUAAACCUCUUUUGUCGGGGAGCAAAAGCCGGACGUGUUCGGCUGUGAGAGUACCCGAAGAAAAAGCAUCGGCUAACUCCGUGCCAGCAGCCGCGGUAAUACGGAGGAUGCGAGCGUUAACCGGAUUUAUUGGGUUUAAAGGGUGCGCAGGCGGAAUUUUAAGUCAGCGGUAAAAUCGUGGGGCUCAACCCCAUCCAGCCGUUGAAACUGGGGAUCUAGAGUGUGCGAGAGGUAUGCGGAAUGCGUGGUGUAGCGGUGAAAUGCAUAGAUAUCACGCAGAACCCCGAUUGCGAAGGCAGCAUACCGGUGCACAACUGACGCUCAGGCACGAAAGCGUGGGUAUCGAACAGGAUUAGAUACCCUUGUAGUC
rnacentral:rRNA from 1 species